CCUGGUUGAUCGCCAAGUAGUCAUAUUAUUGUCUCAAAGAUUAAGCCAUGCAUGUCUAAGUAUGAACUAACUCAGACUGUGAAAUUGUUGAUUGCUCAUUAAAUCAGUUAUAGCAUUUUUUAUGGUACCAUACUACGCGGAUAAUCAUAGUAAUUAUAGAGCUAAUAUGUGCACCAAGUCUCGACUCUUUAGAAGGGAUUCAUUUUUUAGAUAAAAGGCAUCUGUAAGCUUGCCCACUUCUUUGGUGAAUCAUGAUAACUCGACGGAUCACACAACCCUUGUGCUGGAAAUGCUUCAUUCAAAUUUCUACCCUAUAAACUUGCGAUGGUAGGAUAGAGGCCUACCAUGGUGGUGUUGGAUGAUGGAGAAUUAGGGUUUGAUUCUGAAGAGGGAGCCUAAGAAACAUCUACCACAUCAAAGGAAAGUAGCAGGCACUCACAUUACCCAAUCCUAACAUGGGGAGGUAGUGACAAUAAAUAACAAUGCUAGGCUCAUCAGGUCUAGCGAUUGGAAUGAGUACAAUCUAAAUCCCUUAAUGAGGAUCCAUUGGAGGGCAAUAUUGGUUCCAACAACUGCGAUAAGUCCAGAUCCAAUAGCAUAUAUUUAAGUUGUAGGAGUUAAAAAUAUCGUAGUUUUAUCUUGGGUUGUAAAGGUUGGUCUGCCUACUUGGUGUGCGCCUGCCCUUUCGUCCCUUUUUUCGGUGGCGUUCUCCUGGCCUUAAUUGGCUGGGUCAUGACUCCAACACUAUUACUUUGAAAAAAUUAAAGUGUUGAAAGCAAGCUUAUGCUCUGAAUACAUUAGCAUGUAAUAAUGUGAUAGGAGUCUGGUCCUAUUGUGUUGGCCUUUAGGACCAAAGUAAUGAUUAAUAGGGAUUGUUGGGGGCAUUUGUAUUUCAUUGUCAGAGGUGAAAUUCUUCAAUUUAUGAAAGAUGGACCACUACGAAUUAUUUUCCAAGGAUUUUUUCAUUAAUAAAGAAUGAAAUUUGGGGGCUUGAAGACGACCAAAUACUGUCCUAGUCUCAACCAUAAACGAUGGCAACCAAGGACGGGCGGAUGUUGCUCUACAGAGUCCGCCAGCAACUUCUGAGAAAUUAGAGUGUUUGGGUUCUGGGGGGAGUAUUUUCACAAGCCUGAAACUUAAAGAAAUUGACAGAAGGGCACCACUAGGAGUAGAGCCUGUGGAUUAAUUUGAAUCAACAUGGGGAAACUUACUAGGUUUAGACAUAGUAAGGAUUGACGAAUUGAGAGCUCUUUCUUGAUUCUAUGGGUGGUGGUGCAUGGCCAUUCUUAGUUGGUGGAUCGGUUUGUCUGGUUAAUUCUGAUAACAAAUGAGACCUUAGCCUGCUAACUAGCUACGCGGAGGUUCCCCUUCAUAGCUAGCUUCUUAUAGGGACUAUGGAUGUUUAGGCCAUGGAAGUUUGAGGCAAUAACAGGUUUGUGAUGCCCUUAGGUUUUUUGGACCACACGCACGCUACACUGAUGCAGCCAACAAGUUUUUCUUCCUGGUUUGAGAGGAUUGAGAAAUAUUCUUGUUGGCUUAGUGGGGCCUAACCUAGGUUCAGAAGUGAUUUAGCCAAGUAAAUCUAGGUACUAUUGGUCCUUUCAGCAACAGUCCACGGAGCGCAGACUGAGGUCUCACUCGAAGUAGUAUGGGAGGGUGCUAGAACCAGGUUGCCACACCCUAAGGAUGUCUGAUAUGAGGUGAUUUGUACGUGGCACAACCUUCACACUUGCUGCACUACGUGCACUAGCGAGCACCUCGCGCCAUGUAAUAC
rnacentral:rRNA from 1 species